rnacentral:lncRNA from 1 species
UGUCUGAGGUCAGAUUUAAAGACAAGAACACUUGUCUCCAGACAUGAUGCUCUAUCCACUGAACCACCUAGCUGUCUUUACAACAAACUUAAUUUAUUUUUGGAAAUUUUUAUUUAGUUAAUUAAUUUAGAAUAUUUUUCUAUGGUUACAAGAUUCAUGUUUUUUCCCUUCCCUCCUCCCAUCCCCUCCCAUAGCCGACGUACAAUUCCAUUGGAUUUUAUACAUGUCAUUGAUCAAGACCCAUUUCCAUAUUGUACAACAAACUUUUAAACAUUGUUUGGAACUUUAAGUUUUCUUUCCAGAGAACAGACUACAACACAUAUCAAAAAAGGAAUACUAUAAAAGAAUCACAUCCAAUCAAUUAAUCAAUAAGUAUUUAUUAAAUUCCUUCUAUACAGAGGCUAUCAAUGAAAGGAUAUCAAUGAAAAGAAUGAAACAAUCUCAACUCAGAAUUGAUGCCAAAGAAAAAUGUAAGAUGUACUGAUCACACAGUGAGAAUGAGAAUUAACUGUUAAAUAGCUCAUGUGUGGAAUCUUCCAGUGUCAAAAGAACAUGAAGAAAGUACCUAGCACUUUAGGUGAACCGAGGGAGGAAGAGGUUUCAAUGAAUCCUCCACAGAGCUACCAGGUCAAUAAUAUGAAAAACCAAAGCUGAACACACCAUUUCCCAUUUCAAGAAACUUCAAUGACUCACUUUUGUAUCUAUGUUAAAAUAUAAAAUCCUCUUUAGCAUGUAAAGUUAUUUAUAUUCUGUAUCCAACUUAUACUGCCAUACUAAUUUCACAUUUUUACUCCUCCUUCUUGUUUAGUCAUUUCCAUCACAUCUAACUCUGUGACUCCAUUUGUUUGUUUGUUUGGCAAGGACACUGGAGUGGUUUACCAUUUCCUUGUCCAUCUCAUUUUACAUAUGUGAAAAAUAAGGUAAACAGGGUGAAGUGAUUUGCUGAGGGUCAUAAGUGUCUAAGCUAGAUAUGAAUUUGAAGAUCAUUUCUAUGACUCCAGGCCAGGGACUUUAUCCAACAGGCUACCACGCUGAUCUUCGUUC